rnacentral:sRNA from 25 species
AAAGAUCGAUACCGAGGGGGGGGGGGGGCUGAUGCCCCGGAGAAUUUCUGCUCACGCAGGCAGCCUGUACCGCGUACAGUCUGAAACUCCCUAUACCUCAACAAACUGCCACUCCGGCGUAAAGGUAUCGUUCU